rnacentral:rRNA from 1 species
CCUACGGUGAGCAGCAGUGGGGAAUAUUGGGCAAUGGGCGCAAGCCUGACCCAGCAACGCCGCGUGAAGGAAGAAGGCUUUCGGGUUGUAAACUUCUUUUCUGAGGGACGAGGAAAGUGACGGUACCUCAGGAAUAAGCCACGGCUAACUACGUGCCAGCAGCCGCGGUAAUACGUAGGUGGCAAGCGUUAUCCGGCUUUAUUGGGUGUAAAGGGCGUGUAGGCGGGAAAGCAAGUCAGAUGUGAAAACUCAGGGCUCAACCCUGAGCCUGCAUUUGAAACUGUUUUUCUUGAGUGCUGGAGAGGCAAUCGGAAUUCCGUGGGUAGCGGUGAAAUGCGGAGAUAUACGGAGGAACACCAGUGGCGAAGGCGGAUUGCUGGACAGUAACUGACGCUGAGGCGCGAUAGCGUGGGGAGCAAACAGGAUUAGAUACCCCAGUAGUC